GCGCCUGUCGUAUAACGGUCAAUACCCAAGCCUUCCAAGCUUGAGAUGGCGGUUCGAUUCCGCUCGGGCGCU
rnacentral:tRNA from 1 species